rnacentral:rRNA from 1 species
GAUGAACGCUGGCUACAGGCUUAACACAUGCAAGUCGAGGGGAAACGACGGGGAAGCUUGCUUCCCCGGGCGUCGACCGGCGCACGGGUGAGUAACGCGUAUCCAACCUGCCUCUGACUGAGGGAUAACCCGUCGAAAGUCGGCCUAAUACCUCAUGGCAUCGUCUGCGGGCAUCCAACGACGAUUAAAGAUUUCAUCGGUCAGGGAUGGGGAUGCGUCUGAUUAGCUUGUUGGCGGGGUAACGGCCCACCAAGGCGACGAUCAGUAGGGGUUCUGAGAGGAAGGUCCCCCACAUUGGAACUGAGACACGGUCCAAACUCCUACGGGAGGCAGCAGUGAGGAAUAUUGGUCAAUGGGCGAGAGCCUGAACCAGCCAAGUAGCGUGCAGGAUGACGGCCCUAUGGGUUGUAAACUGCUUUUAUGCGGGGAUAAAGUGAGGGACGUGUCCUUCAUUGCAGUACCGCAU